rnacentral:rRNA from 1 species
AACGAACGCUGGCGGCAUGCCUAACACAUGCAAGUCGAACGGAUGGUUUCGGCCAUCAGUGGCGCACGGGUGAGUAACGCGUGGGAAUCUGCCCAGCAGUGGGGGAUAACCUCGGGAAACUGAGGCUAAUACCGCAUACGCCCCUCGGGGGAAAGGCUUGCUGCUGCUGGAGGAGCCCGCGUCGGAUUAGGUAGUUGGUGGGGUAACGGCCUACCAAGCCUGUGAUCCGUAGCUGGUCUGAGAGGAUGAUCAGCCACACUGGGACUGAGACACGGCCCAGACUCCUACGGGAGGCAGCAGUGGGGAAUAUUGGACAAUGGGGGCAACCCUGAUCCAGCAAUGCCGCGUGAGUGAUGAAGGCCUUCGGGUUGUAAAGCUCUUUCGCCCACGACGAUGAUAACGGUAGUGGGAGAAGAAGCCCCGGCUAACUUCGUGCCAGCCGCCGCGGUAAAAC